rnacentral:tRNA from 1 species
GUCGGAUUAUUGCAAUAGUUAGCAAACCUGACCAUAAGUCAGGAAAUGGCGGGUUCGACUCCCCCAUCCGUCACCA